rnacentral:rRNA from 1 species
GCAGCAGCCACGGUAAUACGAAGGGGGCUAGCGUUGUUCGGAAUUACUGGGCGUAAAGCGCACGUAGGCGGAUAUUUAAGUCAGGGGUGAAAUCCCAGAGCUCAACUCUGGAACUGCCUUUGAUACUGGGUAUCUUGAGUAUGGAAGAGGUGAGUGGAAUUCCGAGUGUAGAGGUGAAAUUCGUAGAUAUUCGGAGGAACACCAGUAGCGAAGGCGGCUCACUGGUCCAUUACUGACGCUGAGGUGCGAAAGUGUGGGGAGCAAACAGGAUUAGAUACCCCAGUAGUCCCUGUCUCUUAUAU